rnacentral:lncRNA from 1 species
UCUGGAGUGCUCACCUACACUAGGCUUGGGGACCAUGUUGGUGCCAUUUCCCCAGACUGGGUACUGACCUCUUCACAGUUCCCGUGGCGCCUGAAGGACUGGAGAGUUUAUGUUCCCAUGUCUCCUCUGGGUGUUGGCCAGAGCUGUGAUCACCAUGACGGGAAUCCUCCUUAUUUGCUCCUUAAGCAAAUAAUCCUUGUGUUUUUGAUUAUGCCCUUAAUCUUUGUCCUGAACUGCUGAUCUUCAGAGGGACCCAGGAGAAGAUGAGUCCACCGUUUCUACUGGGGAAAAAAAAACAAAACAACAACAACAAAAAAACACAUCAAACUGUGGGACACUGGAUGGGUGGAUGGGCUAGGCCUGAAAAGAGAUUGCCAAAUACAAGUCCCUUCCAGAUGAAAAGUGGAUCCUUUAGGAAAAGGAGCUGUCAUCUUCAAAGUCAUCUCAUGAUCCGAAAAUGGCUGUUGCAGCUCCAGCCAACAGAGACACCCUGAAAGCCAGAAGAAGGAAGAAAGGCAAAGAUUCAUUAUCUUGAAUUUUUCAAUCUUCCGCUUUUCUUUAUAAUUUUAUUACCUGUAAGUAUACUCCUAAAAACCUUAUUUGGCCCACAGAGUAGGAGAAAAUCUUUGCAAUGAAGCAACCGACAAGGGAUUAAUCUCCAAAAUAUACAACAUCUCGCACAGCUUUAUAUGAAAGAUCCAAUCAAAAACUUUUCAGAAGAUCUCAAUGGACAUUUCUCCAAAAAAGACAGAUAGAUGGCUAAAAAGCACAUGAAAAGAUGCUCAAAUCACUAAUUAUUUAGAGAACUGCAAAUCAAAACUACAGUGCACUCCACAGAAAGUCUACAAACAAACGCCAGAGAAGUUGUGAAGAAAAGGGAACACUCCUACAAUGUUGGUGGGAAUAUAAAUUGGUGCAGCUACUAUGGAAAACAAUAUGGACGUUCCUUUAAAAACUAAACAUGGAACUACCGUAUGAUUCAGCAAUCCCACUCCUAGGCACAUAUCUGGAGAAAAUCAUAAAUUGAAAAGAUAUGUGCACCCCAGUAUUCAUUGCAGCACUAUUUACAAUAGCCAAGACAUGGAAGCAGUCUAAAUGUCCAUAAACAGAGGAAUGGAUAAAGAAGAUGUGGUACAUAUGGAAUAUAUAUGGAAUAAUGGAAUAUAACUCAGCCACAAAAAAGAAUGAAAUAAUGUCAUUUGCAGUAACAUGGAUGGACCCAAAAACUGUCAUACUAAGUGAAGUCAGAUAGAGAAAGACAGAUGUUAUAUGAGGUUACUAAUAUAUGGAAACUAGUAAAAAUUGUAUAAAAGAACUCAUGCACAAAACAAAAACAUACUCAAAGAUUUCAAAACCAAACUUAUGAUUACCAAAUGGGGAAUGUUGGGGGGAAGGAUAAAUUGGGAGGUUGGAACUGACAUAUAAACACUACUGUAUAUGGAAUGGAUGCGUAACAAGGACCUACUGUAUCGCACAGGGGAAUCUACUCAAUACUCUGUAGUGACUUAUAUGGGAAAAGAAUCUGAAAAGGAAUGGAUAUAUGUAUACAUAUAACUGAUUCACUUUGUUCUAUAUCUGAAACUAAUGCAACAUUGUGAGUCAACUAUACUCCAAUAAAAUUUUUUACAAAAGUAA